CACCCUGCCCCUCCCCCUGCAGGCCAGCUUUCUCGCAGAGGCCUGAGCAUGCUCUUUGCCUGCCUGCCAUUGUGCAAUCCGUGUAUCUCUUUGGCUGAGAGUGGGCAAGAGGUGGGUUUGAUCUGGGCGAAGCUGGAGAGGUUUUGAAAGCCUGCUUUUGAGAAAAGCUCCGUCUUUGACCUGUUACGCCCUGAAGGAUGCUGGGGGUUUCAGAAUCAGCCCCUUUAUUUUAUAGAUAGAGAAGAUGGUAGGGGCCCAGGGGCUCGUGGAAUGAGUGAGGGGCGGGCUAGAGGAGAGACUGGGAUCUGCACAGCCUCUCACUCCAUCCAUUCAGGGAGCUGCUUCCAUUAUCCGGGAAAAGAGACUACGGGGCGGCUUGAGGGUGGGGCGCCAAGAGUCACCCUGCAGAAGGGACCCAAUGAAUCUCAACUAGCGAGUGUCAGGGCCAAGUAAAUGCAACCGCUGACAUCCGGUGGGUUGCUGACUCCAUGGGGACUCACCCACCCAUCCCGAUGGCUCACCACAGCACCUGGACUCUGGAGUGUCAUGCCCUCUGCCCUCUCCUCUCCCUAAGUGGGCUGCACAGGGAAGCCUUAGAGCCAGGCACCCGAGGUGAGUCACCCGCUCUCUUCCAGCCUUGCCCAGGUCUUUCUCUUGAUUUCUUUCCUCGUUGUGUUCCACUCUCUGGCUCUUUCUCAGAUUCUCUUAUUGCUCUCCUCGGGGCCCAACACGUGGUUGUACUGAAGGCGAGGUGAUACUAUCAGGUGGCCGCGGAAAGACAAGGGCACAAGUGCGGCCAGAGAAAUUCAUGUUAAGGUUCAUGUGCGUCCCCUCCCACGGGGUCACACCGGCCAUGUUCUUCCAGCCACCUAUUUACACCUGCGAUGGCUGGAGUACCCCACCUGAGAUGCGGUGUCCUGCAUUUAUGUGUGUUGCUGUCCAGCAACUGUCCACUUUCCAGAUGCCUAGGAGGGCAGAUGUUUUAUGCGCGCACACACACACACACACACACACAACUCCACUGUAUGAGCUGUCUCAUAACAAUCACUCUUGCUGUGUAGGAAGGGAUAGUUUGAAAUCCUGGUCCCAGCCCAAGACCAUUUUUGCCAGAGUCUUCCCUAAAGGUCGGCCCUCACGCCCGUGGAAUAGCAGCUUUUCUGGGAUAUUAUUCUAGGGCUUAGAUUCAUUGAUAAAACAAUUCUUUCAAUGUGAGCUGGGCCACACCCCUCAAUUUUAUUUUGUGACAGGGUCUCACUGUGCAGCCCAGCCUAACCUGGAACUCUUAGCUUUUCAAGCUUGGACUCUUGAGUGCUGGGUUACAGCCCUAUAUCACCAGAGGCUCUACUCCUUGUCUUUAUCAAUCUAAGGCUACAUACACAUGCUGCUUGCUGUGAUCAUAAAACAAGAGAAAGAGCUAUAAGAAUAUGUUCUGGUGGGGUUUGGGGGAAUGGGAUGCCUCAGAGGGCCCAUGCUGAGGCAUCCCUUCCUCCUGAGAGAUUAG
rnacentral:lncRNA from 1 species